GCCGGUGAUUUAGCUUGGUGUGUACCACCCGAUACCAUUCCGAACUCGGAAGUGAAAAUGCUAAGCGCUGAUGAUAGUCUUUUAUGGCGAAAGUAGGUUUCGCCGGCA
rnacentral:rRNA from 1 species